rnacentral:rRNA from 1 species
AAGCAACAUCGCGAGGUGAAGCAAAUCCCAAAAAAGUGUCUCAGUUCAGAUUGUAGGCUGCAACUCGCCUACAUGAAGUCGGAAUUGCUAGUAAUCGCGGAUCAGCAUGCCGCGGUGAAUACGUUCCCGGGCCUUGUACACACCGCCCGUCACACCAUGAGAGCCGGUAACACCCGAAGUCAGUAGCCUAACCGCAAGGGGGGCGCUGCCGAAGGUGGGAUUGGUAAUUGGGGUGAAGUCGUAACAAGGUAGC